GAUGAACGCUGGCGGCGUGCUUAACACAUGCAAGUCGAACGUGAGAGGUAGCAAUAUCUUGAAAGUGGCGAACGGGUGAGUAACACGUAGGUAACCUGCCUCGGAGUGGGGGAUAACAGUUAGAAAUGACUGCUAAUACCGCAUGAAUCCAUCAUUUGGGGACAAACGGUGGAGAAAACUCUGGUGCUUCGAGAGGGGCCUGCGGCCGAUUAGCUAGUUGGUGGGGUAAAGGCCUACCAAGGCGACGAUCGGUAGCUGGUCUGAGGGGACGAUCAGCCACACGGGAACUGAGACACGGUCCCGACUCCUACGGGGGCAGCAGUGAGGAAUAUUGGGCAAUGGGCGGAAGCCUGACCCAGCAACGCCGCGUGGAGGAUUGAAGGCCUU
rnacentral:rRNA from 1 species